UGGGGAAUAUUGGACAAUGGGCGAAAGCCUGAUCCAGCCAUGCCGCGUGUGUGAAGAAGGUCUUCGGAUUGUAAAGCACUUUAAGUUGGGAGGAAGGGCAGUAAGCGAAUACCUUGCUGUUUUGACGUUACCGACAGAAUAAGCACCGGCUAACUCUGUGCCAGCAGCCGCGGUAAUACAGAGGGUGCAAGCGUUAAUCGGAAUUACUGGGCGUAAAGUGCGCGUAGGUGGUUCGUUAAGUUGAAUGUGAAAGCCCCGGGCUCAACCUGGGAACUGCAUCCAAAACUGGCGAGCUAGAGUAGGGCAGAGGGUGGUGGAAUUUCCUGUGUAGCGGAGAAAUGCGUAGAUAUAGGAAGGAACACCAGUGGCGAAGGCGACCACCUGGGCUCAUACUGACACUGAGGUGCGAAAGCGUGGGGAGCAAACAGG
rnacentral:rRNA from 1 species